UUUUAGAACUCUGACAGGUAGGCACAGAGUACAAGGCAGAGGAUGUGCGUCAAGCCACUGAAGCUGUGGGAUCAUCAACAAAGAAAGUAUGAAAAGCUGACUCAGGUGUCUUCAAAGUCCCAAGUACUGAAUUCCCAGUGGCCUCCCCUGGAAGAAUACCACUCUCUUAUCCCUUCUCCUCUCUACAAGCAUCCUGGGUCACCCACACCCUAAAUCGCUGGAAAACUAAAAGACUUUCCUGAAACUGAUUCACAGACCCUAGGGCAGAGUUGCUUAGUGACUGAGUCAUGCUGACCCAUUGUAUGGGAUGUACAACCACAGCGUUGAAGACACAGAGGCCCAUGGAAACAUGCAACUCCAUAACUAGAGCUGUUUUUCUUCUGUGUGUGAUCAUACAUUUGCCCACACCCCCAUGGACAAUAAUGAACCUCAUUUAACUUUCCAAUUAAAUCAAAACCAAGUAGUA